rnacentral:lncRNA from 1 species
UCUAUAGAUUCAAAUGAUGAACUGCUGUUUACACGCAAAAUGUGGUCAGAAACAGGGAUAGAAAAUGAUAUUUCUCCAUACAUGCAUUCACCAUGAGGAUCAACAUCCUUCAUUUCGGAAUCUGCUUUCUCUUGCAUCUCCAAUGCAAGGUCUAGCAUCAGCUCCACUUCACCCAUCUCAGGCCGUCUAUUACCCUCCUCACUGAUACAGCAAUAAGCGAUGUCCACGAAUAUCUUGAAACACUCUGGAGCUAUCCUUCCCUUCAAAUAUGGAUCAAUGAUAUUAUAAAUGGUUCCUUCGCCUAUGCACCAACAGGCCCAACAAUCUAGAUGUUCUUUAUGCUUGUCCAAUCUUUGAUCAAUGACUGGUCUAGCACACAACACUUCAAAUAAAACAACCCCAAAUGAGUACACAUCACAUUUCUCUGAAAGUCCAUAUCCUUCGAGAUACUCUGGAUCCAUAUAACCGACAGUACCCAUUAAUCGUGAGUCUAUCUUUUUCAAAGCUUUUGACGUGUUAGAGUAUGAUGGUUGUGGACGCAUCUUGGAGAAUCCGAAACUAGAAAGCUUACUAACCCAUUUGUCGUCCAAAAGAAUAUUGCUGCUGCUGACGUUACGGUGAAUUACCGCAUACUUUAUUCCAGUAUGAAGGUAAUGUAAUCCACGAGCUGCACCAAUACAUAUCUCUAACCUCUGCUUCCAUGGGAGUGGAUCAUAAUUAGAACCAUAGAGAUGAUCACGGAGUCUCCCGUUUUUCAUGUGUUGGUAUACAAGGAUCUUCUCGUCCUUGUCAUUGCAGUACCCGAUAAAAGACACAAGACGUUGGUGGCGCAGCUGGCAGAGCAACUUCACUUCGGUUUGGAACUCAUUGAGUGCAUCUCGUACUGAAUCUGGAAAGAAGCGUUUGACAGCAACAAAGUUUCCAUCAUCAACAAUCCCUUUGAACACGUUUCCAAAAAAGGCUUCAGCGAUAAGAGAUUUUGGAUGAAAAUUGUUGGUAGCAGCUUUGAUCUCUGUUAGAGAAUAUUGACGCUGAUGGUAAAUUUCCUCGGGAAGAGCUGUUGGAUAUUGUAUCCUGGCGUGUUUUUCAUUUCCCUUACUUAUUUCUGAUUUUCUAUGGCCUGCUGUUUUCGUAAAGACUUUGAAGCAACUUGGAAGAAAAUGUGAAGGAUUUCCCAUGGGGGAAGUAGUGAAGGAGAAAGGAGAAAGAAGCAAGUCUGGCUCUGGAUCUGGAUUGAUAUUUGUGGUGUUAUCUCAUCAAGGAGAAGUCUUGCUUGCCUUUGCUUUAAACAUUCAUGUACUUUAACCAGAGUUAAAGGCUUUGCCUUCAUGAUCAUCACCGGCAAGAAAAAUCUAAACAUAAAAUGUCAAAAAACCCCAUCGUAGAAGACAUGGAAUGACCCUAAUGCCUUCAUCAAUAUCAAAAAUGUAAAACUUCUUUUGAUUCCAAUGAUCAUAUCUUACAUGACUCGUAAGCCCCAGGAGACUGUAGGUGACACAAAAUUGGUUGUCAAUUGUCCCCCAAACUUCUCUUGGUGCCGUCUACUUAUUGGGGACUUUUCUUUUCCUUUUUUUUUUUUCUAGAGUUCUUGAUCUCGAAUGAUAUGGAGACUGAAAUUUAUUUAUAUUAUCUAUAGGAGUUUCAAGCUGGUUUCAGCCCAACAGACUUUAAUAGAUACUCAUAUUAUCGUUUACUAUGAAUGAAAUGAUUAUUACUAUUCAAAAAACUUUUUUUGUCUCCAAUUUUCACAACUAAAAAAAAUAAUUGUGUUACAAUCUUUUUCCCACCCCCAAAUCUGGAAAUGUGCAAACCUGUCAGUAAGAUCACUCACUAAGCUUUUCAAGAAAGUUUUAAUAUCAAAAACAAAGACAUCAAACUCCAAUGGCCCUAAUCUUCCCAUGAGGAAGACAAGUGGAACCUUGAUUCUUUUAUGCAAAUUAAAAUCCAGACCUUACAAUUCACCAAGAAGCAAGAAAAGGCCAAUUAGAGCCCACAAAUUAAUUUCCAUUUCUGUUUUCUUGUUGGCAUCUAUGCUAGCUCUUUUUGCUUCUUUUUUUUUCUGAGAAAUUAUCUGGUUGGGUGUCCGUUUUAGGAAGAAGAAACCAUCCAUUACAAUCAUAGCUAAGAUAUGAACAAAAAGAGUGAGAUUUAUAAACUAUGUUAGUUACAUCAAAGAAGAUUAGGAAGAAAGAUAAAAGAGUAAGAAAUAAUUGAGUUAUUUUGAUUAAUUAAAAAAAUUAUGUCGUUAAGUCAAUUUUAAACUAGCAUUAAUAUCACAAACUGUGGUCAGAAACAGGAAUACUAAAUGUUACUUCUUCGUACAUACAUUUACCAUGAGGAUCAAUAUCCACCAAUUCAGAAUCUGCUUUCUCUUGCAUCUCCAAUGCAAGCUCUAGCAUCUGCUCCACUUCACCCAUGUCAGGCCGUGUAUCUCCUUUCUCACUGGUACAGCAAUAAGCAAUGUCCACGAAUAUCUUGAAACAUCCUGGAGCUAUCCUCCCCAUCAGAUAUGGAUCAAUGAUAUUAUAAAUGGUUCCUUCACCUAUACACCGACGAACCCAAUGAACUAGAAAUUUUUCAUCCUCGUCUAAUGUUGGAUCAACGACUGGUCUAGCACACAACACUUCAAAUAAAACAACCCCAAAUGAGUAAACAUCGCAUUUUUCUGAAAGUUCACAACCCUUGGUAUACUUUGAACCCACAUAACUGGGCGUACCCACCAUUCGUGAGUCGAUUUUUUCCAAAGCUUUUGACAUGCUAGAGUAUGAAGGUUGUGGACGCAUCUUGGAGAACAGGAAAUUAGAAAGCUUACUAACCCAUUUGUCGUCCAAAAGAAUAUUGCCGCUAUUGACGUCACAAUGAAUUACCGCAUGCUUUACUCCAGUAUGAAGGUAAUGUAAUCCACGAGCCGCACCAAUGCAUAUCUUUAGCCUGUGCUUCCAUGGGAGUGGAUUAUAACCAGAACCAUAAAGAUGAUGAAGGAGUGCCCCGUUUAUCAUGAGUUUGCAUACAAGGAUCAUCUCGUCCUUAUCAUUGCAGUACCCGAUGAGAGGCACGAGAUGUUCGUGGCGCAGCUGGCAGAGCAACUGCACUUCUGUUCGGUACUCAUCGAGUCCUAAUGCUGCUAAUGGACUGAAGCGUUUGAUAGCAACCAAGGUUCCAUCAUCGACAAUCCCUUUGUAUACCUUUCCAAAACCAUAUUUACCGAUGAGCGAUUUUGGAUGGAAGUUGUUGGUAGCAGCUUUGAUCUCGGUUAGAGAAAAUUGACGGCAAAUUUCCUCAGGAAGAGCCGCUAUCCUUGCGUGCUUUUCAUUUCCCUUACUUAUUUCUGGUUUUCUAUUGCCUGCUCUGAAGCAACUCGGAAGAAAAUGUGAAGGAUUUCCCAUGGGGGAAGUAGUGAAGGAGAAAGGAGAAAGAAGCAAGUCUGGGUCUGGAUCUGGAUUGAUAUUUGUGGUGUUAUCUCAUCAAGGAGAAAUCUUUCUUGGCUUUUCUUUGUGCUCUAACCAUAGUUAAAGGCAUUGCCUUUAUGAUCAUCACCGGCAAGAAAAAUCUAAACGUAAAAUGUCAAAAACCCCCAUGGUGGAAGACAUGGAAUGACCCUAAUACCUUCAUCAAUUUCAAAGUGAGAAACUUCUGUUGAAUUAAAAGCUCACAUCUUGCGUGACUCAUAAGCCCCUAUUGGUGACACAGCUAAUUGUCUCCAAUUUUGCACAACUAUUAAAGAUACUAGUGUUCCAAUCUUUUUGCCACUCCCCAAAUCUAAACUGUGCAAACCUGUCAUAAAAUCCUUCACUCGCUUUUCAAGAAAGUUUUUAUGUCAAAAACAAACACAUCAUAUUCCAAUGGCCCUAGUCUUGGCAUGGGCAAGACAAGUGGAACCUUUAUUCUUUAUGUAGAAACAAUCCAGGCAUUACACUUGACCAAGAAGCAAGAAAAGGCCAAGAGCCCCAAAUUAAUUAAUUUUCAUUAUUACUUUCUUGUUUGCAUCUAAGUCAGCUCUUUCUGAGGAGAAAUUAUCUGAUUAGGUGGUCCGAACCAGGAAGAAGAAACCAUUCAAUCAUAAACAUAGAUAAGAUAUAAGUAAAAAGAGUGAGAUUUAUAAACUACAAGUGAGAUAAAGAUUUUUGGUUCAAGUUGAUUAUUAUAUUUCUUUUUUAAACUUUAAUUUACAAGUUUUUUUUAUUUUCAAAAGAUUAUAAAUUCAGCAUUUUAUCGUCCUAUCAAAUCGAUAUAAUAAAUAUACAUUAUAUUAUUAAAAAUAUCUUAACUUUUGAAAUUUAUGAAUAAGUCGACAUAAUCUAGAUUAUUAUAUACUAACUAGAAAGAAUAAUCUACAUUAUUCUAUCAAUAUGUAUAUCUUGGAUGACAUCAUAGGUGACAUAAAUCUUAUAGUCAAUUUUCAAGCUAAAAAGGUGUGUGUGGUAAGCCUUGCAAAAGUUGCAAAUACAAACAAGGAAACAAUGGGGGUAAUUUCAUGCAAAUUCCCACUUGCUUUCUAGAAAGCAAUAAAAUAUAUCAAAACAAAAUCCAUCAUGUUCUAUAAGAAAAAAAGACCCUAUUCUCUCCGUGUGUAAGUCGUGGGCAUCUUCCAUCUCAAUCCAUUCCUUAGCCUCUUCUCAGACUUCAUUCACAAGGCAAAACACUGGCCACAAUUUUCUUUUUGUAGUAUAGUAGUAUUUUCUAGAGCAAGCUUGAAGAAUGCUUCACUUCAUUACUUAGCAUAGACCCACAAAAUAAAUUAAAAAAUAUAGAUUGAUUAAGAUGUGUUUUAAUUGAAUUUUAAUUAUAUUUAUCUUAAUUGAUUUCGCUUCGAACAUCCUGUCACGUAAUUUCUUACAUUUACGACAUAUUUUUAUCAAUGCAAAAUGGGAUUUUCUUUCUUUUUUUUUACGCAAUUAAUUUUCAUUGGUAUGAUUUUUUAAAUUUUUUGUGCUACUAGUAUUUAGGUUUUUCAACUUUUAGAUUAAGUAACAAGGACAAAAAUUUACCUGUUUUGAAAGAGUUUUGACACCAAAUUCAAGUUAGGGGUGAUCAAUAUAUACUCUUUGGAGGAAGUUUCCCUUUCACACUCACUCUCAAGAUAUCUCUUUGUCUUUUUUUACUUGUACACUUUUUGGAGGAAAUUUUCUGAUGUAAUUAAUAUUAAUUUAAUUUUUUUCAUAUAUUGUAAAUUAAUCAUUGGAUGAUUAAUUUUUCCUUGUUGCUUUUCUUUCUCACCAAAAUUAUCAUAACCCUUGGGAUGAAAUUUCAAACUAUCCUAUUAAAAAUGACAAAAAAAAUAUUAGAGAAAAUAAAUAUAAAAUUAAUAGAACAUUAGGCAUAUUAAGAAAGUUUUGGCUUGGAAAAGAGAGUAAUUAAGGGGGGAAACACUACACCAAAACACUAUGAACAAACCUAAUUCUAACACCCAUUGACACAAAAUUGGGAAAAAACAGCCCUUACUCCUUCAUAUAUUUGGAUUUGGUAGCAUGAACCAUGAAUCGAAACCCAUACAGACAGAACAUGGAAGUAGCUUUUCAACAUUGUUCGAUAAGCUAUAACCAAAAGAAGUGUCUAGUCCAAGCCUUAUGGGUAUUGAGAAAAAUCUAAAACCUUUGUUUGUUGGGUGAGUUAAAGUACAAGCCGGUCUCCAAAUGGGCUCCACAGGUUAAAGUGUGGGAACCAUUAUUUAACAAAUGUGUGUAUGUAUGUACCCACACAAAGCAGCUUUUGGUCAUGUCGUUUUGCAAUCUGUCUACAGUGCACUCCAUCAUACCAAGUCCCCCCUGGUGUCUCCUUCACCUUGUCUCUAACACCUUCUUUCGUUCCUUCUUUCUUCACUUUGUUGAAACGUUAGUUGUCAGAUUAAACAGCCCUACCUUCUGAUAUUGCAACCUCUAAUCCAUUCUUCUUUUAUGUUUUAAGUAUCUACCAUUCCUUCCCUUUUAGACCUCAUCCACAAGCAUUUGCCACUUGACCACAAGCUUUUCCUCGAUUUAACUUCAACUUAAUGUUUCUUAAUCAGAAUUGUCUGCUAAACAUGUAAUUCUAACUGAAUUUACAGAUUGGGUUUUAUGAGUUUGUGUUAAGAAAGAAAAGGAAAUGAAAAAGAAUCUUUUAUUAAUUUUAUUCAUCAAGAAAAUGGAACCAGUUAUCUCAUAUUUAUCUUUUACUUGAAUGUCUAGCACUGUUGAUCAGUCUCUUUUGCUGUUGGAGGUAUAUUUUAGCAGGCAGUCACAUCACAAAUUCAUAGCUCUUCCUCCCCCCAAAGAAGGAAAUGGCCUGCUGGCUUCUUGAAUGGGUUAUCUCCAUUUUCAUCUACAGUCAUUUUCUGAUAUUCAACUUUCCAGGGUCUUUUUGGGUCUUGAACUCUCAGCUUUGCAAUGUAGCGGCUGCUUGACUUUGGUUUCAUGACAGACUUCCAUGGACUACAAGAUGGACGAGGGACCAAUCUAAAGAAUGAUUAAUCACUUAGCCACUCAUUUUCUUGUGUGAAAUCCAAUGAAUCUCAUCAAAGAUGGGAACAUAGCAAUGACGUGUGGUUUCUGGAGCAAAAUGUACGUUGGUAGAAGCGAUUAUAAAACAUAUGAAUCAAGGGGUAGAUAUGGGAAACACUACACCAAAACAUAUGAAUCAAGAGAGUUAGAGCAUCUUUAAAUAGGGCGAAAGGAGUAGAUAUGGCAAAAAAUUGGGAAGAAUAAUUAAUAAAAGCGUUGCACACUGACAUCCAUUGAUGGCCAAUCCACCCACCAAAUGGAAAAAGAAAAAUGGGAUACACGUUUGCAUUGUCUUAUCCAACCAUCCUAUCCAAUUUUCCAAACAAUAAUCAAGGAAGAAGAUGAGAGCUAUGAACUAAAUUUUCCCAUACCUUUAAUUAUUGUUGGUAAAAAGUGUUACAUUCAUAGAUGAAAUACAUAGAUUAGUGUCAUUUAUGAUUACAGGUCGACAAAGAAUUGAGUAAAAAUCUUAAAUUAGAGUUGUAAUAUUCGUUCUAUUUAUAUAUUUUAAUGUACCCGUUUUUCAAUAAAAUGUAAUUACGGUCAUAUUUUUUUAUAAAAUGUUUGUUGAUACUAAAUUCAUGAAUAAAUAAGUUGGUACGGUUAGAAAGUUAAAAAUUAUUGAAAUUAAAAAAGGAAUUAAAAAUGAUUUUGUAAGUUCACUUUGAAGAUUAACUUAAGAAUUGUAUUAUAUAAUAAAAUUUCAAACAAAAUGUUUAAAAAGCUUUAUAUAGUCAAAAAUAUGAGCUCCAAUAGGCUGAAAAAUUCAAACUUGCCCACGUCAAAACUUAUAGGCAAAGUCCUACCUGAAAAAGGUGUUGUAUCAAAUGUAUACAUCAAUGGCUGCUUUCUCCCCUAACAUAGACUUAACUGGUUGCAAUUUUAGACUACUUCUACAAGGAAAACAUGUAUAGGAAGAACAAUUUUUUUUCUUUGGAGUUGUUAAAAUUUUAAACUGGUAUCAAUAUCACAAACUGUAGUCAGAAACAGAUAUAGAAAAUGAUAUUUCUCCAUACAUACAUUCACUAUGAGGAUCAAUAUCCCUCAUUUGGGAAUCUGCUUUCUCUUGCAUCUCCAAUGCAAGCUCUAACAUUAGCUCCACUUCACCCAUCUCAGGCCGUGUAUCCCCCUUCUCACUGAUACAACAAUAAGCGAUAUCCACGAAUAUUUUGAAACACUCUGGAGCUAUCUUCCCUUUUAGAUGUGGGUCAAUUAUAUUAUAAAUGGUUCCUUUGCCUAUACAGUGACGGACCCAAUCAGGUAGAAGUCGUUCAUACUCGUCCAAUGUUGGAUCAGCCACCUUUCUAGCACACAAAACUUCAAAUAAAACAACUCCAAAUGAGUACACAUCACAUUUUUCUGAAACUCCACAGCCUCCGAGAUACUCAGGAUCCACAUAACCGACAGUACCCGCCAAUCGUGAAUCAAUUCUUUUCAAAACAUUUGAUGUGUUAGAGUAUGAAGGUUGUGGACGCAUCUUGGCAAACAUUAAAUUAGAAAGCUUACUAACCCAUUUGUCAUCCAAAAGAAUAUUGGUGCUUUUGACGUCACGGUGAAUUACGGCAUGCUUUGCUCCGGUAUGAAGGUAAUGUAAUCCACGAGCUGCACCAAUACAUAUCUCUAGCCUCUGCUUCCAUGGAAGUGGAUCAUAAACAGAACCGUAGAGAUGAUGACAGAGUGUCCCGUUUUUCAUGAGUUCAUAUACCAGGAUCAACUCGUCCUUAUCAUUGCAGAACCCUAUCAGAGACACGAGAUGUUGGUGGCGCAGCUGGCAGAGCAACUUCACUUCGGUUUGGAACUCAUUGAAUACAGCCCGUACUGAAUCUGGAUUGAAGCGUCUGACAGCAACAACGUGUCCAUCAUCAACAAUCCCUUCGAACACCUUUCCAAAAUAACCAACAGCAAUAAGAUAUUUUGGAUGAAAAUUGUUGGUGGCAGCUGUGAUCUCGGUUAGAGAAAAUUGACGGCAAAUUUCCUCAGGGAGAGCUGCAGGAUAUUGUAUCCUGGCGUGUUUUUCAUUUCCCUUACUUUUUUCAGAUUUUCUAUUGCCUGCUGUUCUCGUAAAGACUUUGAAACAACUUGGAAGAAAAUAUGAAGGAUUUCCCAUGUGGGAACUAGUUAAGGAGGAGGAAGCAAGGUUGGCUCUGGAUUGAUAUUUGUGGUGGUAUCACAUCAAGGACAAGUCUUGCUUGACUUUGCUUUAAUCAUUUAUGUACUUAAACCAUAAGGACAGACUUUGACUUCAAAAUCAUCACCGUCAAGAAAAAUCUAAGCUUAAAAUGUCAAAAAAGCCCAUCGUAGAAGACAUGGAAUGACCCUAAUACCUUCAUCAAUAUCAAAGUGAGAAACUUCUUUUGAAUUAAGAGAAGGUCACAUCUUGCAUGACUCAUAAUCCCCUCGUGGUGACACAACCAAUUGUCUCCAAUUUUCACAACUAAAAAGAUUUUUUUUUUUUUUUGAAAAGUUAUAAUCUUUUGCCACCUCCAAAUCUAAAAUGUGUAAACCUGUCAUAAAAUCACUCACUAAGCUUUUCAUGAAAGUUUUAAUAUCGAAAACAAAGACAUCAAAUUCCAAUGGCCCUAAUCUUCCCAUGGCCAUGGGGAAGACAAGUUGAGGCUUGACUCUUUUAUGUUUUGCUUCUUUUUUCUGAGAAAUUAUUUGGUUAGGUGUCCGUUUUAGGAAGAAGAAACCAUCCAUCACAGUCAUAGCUAAGAUAUGAGCAAAAAGAAAAUGAGAUUUAUAAAUUAUAUUAGUUAUAUCAAAGAGGAUUAGGAGGAAAGAUAAAAGAGUGAGAAAAUUUUUGUUUGAGUGAUUAUAUUUUUAAUCUAAUCUUAAUUAAAUUUAUAUUCAUAAUUUACUGAUUUUGAUUAAUUAAAAAAAUUGUAUGGUUUAGUCAAUUUUAAACUAGUAUCAAUAUCACAAACCGUAAUUAAAAACAGGAGUACAAAAUAAUACUUCUCGGUACAUAUAUUUACCAUAAGGAUCAACAUCCACCAAUUUGGAAUCUGCUUUCUCUAAUGCAAGCUCUAGCAUCAGUUCCACUUCACCCAUCUCAAGCUGUGUAUCUCCCUUUUUACCAAUUACAGCAAUAAGCAAUGUCCACGAAUAUUUUUUUUUAAAAAAAGGUGAAUUUAUUAAGCCACUGCAGUCCACAGGUGCCAUUAUAAGUCUUGAGACUGUCUGCCAAAGACAUACCAUGGCAUAUCAUGGAAGCUGCUCGGGCAAAGGAGCAACUAUAAAUAGAUGAUAUUAUAAAUAGUUCCUUCGCCUAUGCACCCACAAACCCAAUAAACUAAAAACUUUUCAUCCUCGUCCAAUGUUGGAUUAAAGACUGGUUUAGCACAUAACAAUUCAAAGAAAACAACCCCAAAUAGGUAAAUAUCACAUUUUUCUGAAAGUCUCCUAUCUUCGUGAUACUCUGGAUCCAUGUAACAGUAAGAUGUGUUUUAUCAUUCAUAAUAAUCCUAAUCUCAUUAUUAAAAUUAAACAUAUUAUAUUUAACUCAAAUUUAAGGCUUUUCUGCUCAAAGUUUCUUUCUUUUCAAAUCUAUUUCAUCUAUAAGCAUUCAACUACAACUUUCUCUAAAAUCAAUCAACAUGAAAAAUAAAAUAAAAUCAAUUUUCCUUAAGAACCAAUAUUUUGUUAAACACUUUUCAUUCUUCUUCUUCAAUACAAAUUCUUUUCUCUUUUCAUUCAAGCGUUUUAUCAAAGAAAUUUUGUGCAGUUCUUUAGUAAACUUUACCCAACAUGAAAAGACCCCAAAAGAGUUUCUUCUUCUUUCACUUUCCUCGGGUUUUUCUAAGUAACCAAACUGAGAUAGAAUCAAAUUCUCACCGCCGGCCUCUCUUUGAAUUGUUCUGAAAGGAAGUAUUAGGGCAAACUUCUUCACGCUCUUCGCUUCAGAGUUCCGUCGUUUUGCAAGCAAUUACGCGUCGUUUCAUUCCUUUUGCCAUUCAACCAAAUUUGCCUUCUGGGCUUUCGCCUUGGGUAGACAAAACGCUCCGUAUCGUCGUGGUUGUUUUGGGCUUAGCCCAGAGUACCUGCGCAUUUGGGCUAGAGCCCAUGAUCUUUCCUUCAUGGGCCAUAUUUAUCAAGCUUUCUUUUUCUCGAGUUGUUGAAUUUAAAAGGUUGAAACGUAUCUAUUUAGAAUAUUAUUUAUUAAAAAAAUCAAUUAUUUAGUUAUUAACACCUUGGUGAAUGAAAAUGAGCCUGAAUCUGAACAUUUCUAGGAAAAUCUGAAGUCAUCCAUUGAGAAAAAAUGGGGUCAAUUUCCAUGCAAAUCCUCACUUGAUUUCCAGAAAGCAAUAAAAUAUCAAAACAAAAUCCAUUAUAUUCUAUAAAAAAGGAAGACCCCAUCCUCUUCAAUCCAUGCCUUGGCCUCUUCUCACACUUGAUUCACAAAGGCAAAAAAGUGGCCAUAAUUUUCUUCUUCUUUUUUCGGUAGUAGUAGUAUUUUCUGAAGAUGCAAGUGAUGUACUUCUGGAAUACAAAUCCCCUGCCUCGGCUUCAGACUCUGAUGUACUGUUGAUACUGUCUACACGCAAACUGUGAUCAAGAACAGGGAUACAAAAUGAUAUUUCUCCAUACAUACAUUUACCAUGAGAAUCGAGAUCUACCAAAUCGGAAUCUGCUUUCUCUUGCAUCUCUAACGCAAGCUCUAGCAUCAGCUCCACUUCUCCCAUGUCAGGUCGUGCAUCUCCCUCUUUAUGAAUGCAGCAAUAAGCAAUGUCUACAAAUAUCUUGAAGCACUCUGGAGCAAUCCUCCCCUUGAGAUAUGGAUCAAUAAUAUUAUAAAUGGUUCCU